rnacentral:lncRNA from 1 species
GUGCUGGUGGGCGGUGGAUGGGGGGGCGGGACCGAAACACGCCAGAUUCUCUGCAGCUGUCUUUGCCAAACCCCUAGCCCUCGCCACACACCCCAAUCGACCACUUCUCCUAUUAUCCUUGAUCACUCCACGCCUUCUUCCCUCCCAGUCACAUCUUUCACUUCCUUUAAUUACCCUCAAUAUAAUACCCUUCCCUUAUCUCUCUCCUCCCCUCUUCCGUCUUCCCGGUCCCCGCCUCACCCCAGUAAACUGCUCUUCCCUUCCCAACCUUCUCCUACACCUAUCAGGCAUCCCCCUCUGCUCUUUAGUUACUAGCAUGACAGCCCCCAGGCACCCUUUUGUGUUCUUAGGAAAUCCCUCUCUCCCCUCCUAACACACACACACGUUCCUUUCUGUUUACCUCUUCUCAUUCUCAGCCGAUUGUUUGGGUGACUCUUAGGAGGUUCUCUUAUUGUGUGGUCCCGUUCCUGACCCGGCCUAAGGUCCCUGUCUUGCAGCUGGAUAGCGGCAACUACCUCUUCUCCACUAGUGCAAUCUGCCGAUAUUUUUUUUUGUUAU